rnacentral:rRNA from 1 species
AGGCUUUGAUCCUGGCUCAGGAUGAACGCUGGCGGCGUGCCUAACACAUGCAAGUCGAGCGAUCUCUUCGGAGAGAGCGGCGGACGGGUGAGUAACGCGUGGGUAACCUGCCCUGUACACACGGAUAACAUACCGAAAGGUAUACUAAUACGGGAUAACAUACGGAAGUCGCAUGGCUUUUGUAUCAAAGCUCCGGCGGUACAGGAUGGACCCGCGUCUGAUUAGCUAGUUGGUAAGGUAAUGGCUUACCAAGGCAACGAUCAGUAGCCGACCUGAGAGGGUGAUCGGCCACACUGGAACUGAGACACGGUCCAGACUCCUACGGGAGGCAGCAGUGGGGAAUAUUGCACAAUGGGCGAAAGCCUGAUGCAGCAACGCCGCGUGAGCGAUGAAGGCCUUCGGGUCGUAAAGCUCUGUCCUCAAGGAAGAUAAUGACGGUACUUGAGGAGGAAGCCCCGGCUA